rnacentral:rRNA from 1 species
CCUACGGGAGGCAGCAGUGGGGAAUAUUGCGCAAUGGGCGAAAGCCUGACGCAGCGACGCCGCGUGAGGGAUGAAGGUCUUCGGAUCGUAAACCUCUGUCAGCAGGGAGGAACGGUCACUGUGCUAAUCAGCAGUGAAUUGACGGUACCUGCAAAGGAAGCACCGGCUAACUCCGUGCCAGCAGCCGCGGUAAUACGGAGGGUGCGAGCGUUAAUCGGAAUUACUGGGCGUAAAGCGCUCGUAGGCGGUUGGUCGAGUCAAGGGUGAAAUCCCCGCGCUUAACGUGGGAACUGCCUUUGAGACGGGUAAGCUGGAGUGUUGUAGAGGAUAGUGGAAUUCCAGGUGUAGCAGUGAAAUCCGUAGAGAUGUGGAGGAACAUCAGUGGCGAAGGCGACUAUCUGGCACAUAACUGACGCUGAGGAGCGAAAGCGUGGGUAGCAAACAGGAUUAGAUACCCCAGUAGUC